UACGUAGGGUGCGAGCGUUUGUCCGGAUUAUUGGGCGUAAAGGGCUCGUAGGCGGCCUGUCGCGUCGGGAGUGAAAGCCCACUGCUUAACGGGUGGGUCUGCUUCCGGUACGGGCGGGCUGAGUAUGGCAGGGGAGACUGGAAUUCCUGGUGUAGCGGUGGAAUGCGCAGAUAUCAGGAGGAACACCGGUGGCGAAGGCGGGUCUCUGGGCCAUUACUGACGCUGGAGGAGCGAAAGCGUGGGGAGCGAACAGG
rnacentral:rRNA from 1 species